CCCUUAGAUGUCCUGGGCCGCACGCGCGUUACAAUGAUGCAUUCAACGAGCUUAUAACCUUGGCCGAGAGGCCUGGGCAAUCUUGUUAACGUGCAUCGUGAUAGGGAUAGAUUAUUGAAAUUAUUAAUCUUGAACGAGGAAUUCCUAGUAAACGCAGAUCAUCAAUCUGCAUUGAUUACGUCCCUGCCCUUUGUACACACCGCCCGUCGCACCUACCGAUUGGAUGGUCCGGUGAAGCCUCGGGAUUGUGGUUCUUGCCGCUUUAUUGUGGCGUGACCGCGAGAACUUGUCUAAACCUUAUCAUCUAGAGGAAGGUGAAGUCGUAACA
rnacentral:rRNA from 1 species